GAUGAACGCUGGCGGCGUGCCUAAUACAUGCAAGUCGAGCGAACAGACGAGGAGCUUGCUCCUCUGACGUUAUCGGCGGACGGGUGAGUAACACGUGGAUAACCUACCUAUAAGACUGGGAUACCUUCGGGAAACCGGAGCUAAUACCGGAUAAUAUAUUGAACCGCAUGGUUCAAUAGUGAAAGACGGUUUUGCUGUCACUUAUAGAUGGAUCCGCGCCGCAUUAGCUAGUUGGUAAGGUAACGGCUUACCAAGGCAACGAUGCGUAGACGACCUGAGAGGGUGAACGGCCACACUGGAACUGAGACACGGUCCAGACUCCUACGGGAGGCAGCAGUAGGGAAUCUUCCGCAAUGGGCGAAAGCUUGACGGAGCAACGCCGCGUGAGUGAUGAAGGUCUUCGGAUCGUAAAACUCUGUUAUUAGGGAAGAACAAAUGUGUAAGUAACUAUGCACGUCUUGACGGUACCUAAUCAGAAAGCCACGGCUAACUACGUG
rnacentral:rRNA from 1 species